GGGGAAUAUUGGACAAUGGGGGCAACCCUGAUCCAGCCAUGCCGCGUGUGUGAAGAAGGCCUUUUGGUUGUAAAGCACUUUAAGCAGUGAAGAAGACUCCAUGGUUAAUACCCAUGGACGAUGACAUUAGCUGCAGAAUAAGCACCGGCUAACUCUGUGCCAGCAGCCGCGGUAAUACAGAGGGUGCAAGCGUUAAUCGGAAUUACUGGGCGUAAAGCGAGCGUAGGUGGCUUGAUAAGUCAGAUGUGAAAGCCCCGGGCUCAACCUGGGAACGGCAUCUGAUACUGUUAGGCUAGAGUAGGUGAGAGGAAGGUAGAAUUCCAGGUGUAGCGGUGAAAUGCGUAGAGAUCUGGAGGAAUACCGAUGGCGAAGGCAGCCUUCUGGCAUCAUACUGACACUGAGGUUCGAAAGCGUGGGUAGCAAAC
rnacentral:rRNA from 1 species